rnacentral:rRNA from 1 species
GGGCGACGGUUGUCCCGGUUUAAGCGUGUAGGCUGGUUUUCCAGGCAAAUCCGGAAAAUCAAGGCUGAGGCGUGAUGACGAGGCACUACGGUGCUGAAGCGACAAAUGCCCUGCUUCCAGGAAAAGCCUCUAAGCAUCAGGUAACAUCAAAUCGUACCCCAAACCGACACAGGUGGUCAGGUAGAGAAUACCAAGGCGCUUGAGAGAACUCGGGUGAAGGAACUAGGCAAAAUGGUGCCGUAACUUCGGGAGAAGGCACGCUGAUAUGUAGGUGAAGCGACUUGCUCGUGGAGCUGAAAUCAGUCGAAGAUACCAGCUGGCUGCAACUGUUUAUUAAAAACACAGCACUGUGCAAACACGAAAGUGGACGUAUACGGUGUGACGCCUGCCCGGUGCCGGAAGGUUAAUUGAUGGGGUUAGCGGUAACGCGAAGCUCUUGAUCGAAGCCCCGGUAAACGGCGGCCGUAACUAUAACGGUCCUAAGGUAGCGAAAUUCCUUGUCGGGUAAGUUCCGACCUGCACGAAUGGCGUAAUGAUGGCCAGGCUGUCUCCACCCGAGACUCAGUGAAAUUGAACUCGCUGUGAAGAUGCAGUGUACCCGCGGCAAGACGGAAAGACCCCGUGAACCUUUACUAUAGCUUGACACUGAACAUUGAGCCUUGAUGUGUAGGAUAGGUGGGAGGCUUUGAAGUGUGGACGCCAGUCUGCAUGGAGCCGACCUUGAAAUACCACCCUUUAAUGUUUGAUGUUCUAACGUGGGCCCCUUACCGGGGUUGCGGACAGUGUCUGGUGGGUAGUUUGACUGGGGCGGUCUCCUCCUAAAGAGUAACGGAGGAGCACGAAGGUUGGCUAAUCCUGGUCGGACAUCAGGAGGUUAGUGCAAUGGCAUAAGCCAGCUUGACUGCGAGCGUGACGGCGCGAGCAGGUGCGAAAGCAGGUCAUAGUGAUCCGGUGGUUCUGAAUGGAAGGGCCAUCGCUCAACGGAUAAAAGGUACUCCGGGGAUAACAGGCUGAUACCGCCCAAGAGUUCAUAUCGACGGCGGUGUUUGGCACCUCGAUGUCGGCUCAUCACAUCCUGGGGCUGAAGUAGGUCCCAAGGGUAUGGCUGUUCGCCAUUUAAAGUGGUACGCGAGCUGGGUUUAGAACGUCGUGAGACAGUUCGGUCCCUAUCUGCCGUGGGCGCUGGAGAACUGAGGGGGGCUGCUCCUAGUACGAGAGGACCGGAGUGGACGCAUCACUGGUGUUCGGGUUGUCAUGCCAAUGGCACUGCCCGGUAGCUAAAUGCGGAAGAGAUAAGUGCUGAAAGCAUCUAAGCACGAAACUUGCCCCGAGAUGAGUUCUCCCUGACUCCUUGAGAGUCCUGAAGGAACGUUGAAGACGACGACGUUGAUAGGCCGGGUGUGUAAGCGCAGCGAUGCGUUGAGCUAACCGGUACUAAUGAACCGUGAGGCUUAACCUU